GGCCCUUCGGGGCGUCUGUGAAGGUGCUGCAUGGUUGUCGUCAGCUCGUGCCGUGAGGUGUCGGCUUAAGUGCCAUAACGAGCGCAACCCCUUUCUUCAGUUGCCAUCAGGUGAUGCUGGGCACUCUGGAGACACUGCCACCGCAAGGUGUGAGGAAGGUGGGGAUGACGUCAAAUCAGCACGGCCCUUACGUCCGGGGCUACACACGUGUUACAAUGGCCGGUACAGAGAGU
rnacentral:rRNA from 2 species